rnacentral:lncRNA from 1 species
CAACACCGUCACCACUGAGUGCGGGUGACACCGUGACACCGUCACCAUGACACCACAACACCGUCACCACUGAGUGCGGGUGACACCGUGACACCAUGACGCCGCGACGCCGUCACCACCGAGUGCGGGUGACGCCGCCGUGCCACCCACCAUCCCCGGGUGACGCCGCGUCCGCCUGACGCCGGCGCGUCCCGGCAGAGCUGUGCCGCCAACAGGCGGCGCCGGCCUUCAGUCGCUUCUACUCCGCCGUCCGCGUCAACCGCAGCGUGCUGUGCGUCACCGCCUGCAGCCCCGGCGUCCCCGGCGCCAUCCAUUGUCACCACGGCCUCUGCCGGGUCACAACGCAGGGACCGCGCUGCUUCUGCCCCCAACUUCCAGGCUUCCUCUCCUCCGGCGACCGCUGCCAGACCCACAUCAGCCGCGUGGGGCUGGGGGUGGGAGUGGGGCUGGGGCUGGGGCUGCCCCUCCUCCUCCUCCUCCUCCUCCUCCUCCUCUUCCUCCUCUGCCCCACACGCUGCGCCCCACGGCGGGGGAAGGGCCGCGCCAGCAGGUGACCACGCUCCCCUUGCCCACUUCGCCCCAUUGGCCCCACAUUGCCCCCGUUUCCCCUUGACCCCAAAUCCGACCCCUUGACCCCAAAUCUGAACCCUUGACCCCAAAUCUGAUCCUUGAGCCUAAAUCCUGACCCCUCGACCCCAAAUCGUGGCUCUUGACCCCAAAUCCUGGCCCUUGAACCUAAAUCUGACCCCAAAUCCUGGCCCUUGAACCUAAAUCUGACCCCAAAUCCUGGCCCUUCACCUCAAAUCUGAACCCUUGGCCCCAAAUCUGAGCCCUUGACCUCAAAUCUGACCCCUUGACCCUAAAUCCUGGCCAUUGAACCUAAAUCUGACCCCUUGACCUCAAAUCCUGGCCAUUGAACCUAAAUCUGACCCCUUGACCCCAAAUCCUGACCCUUGACCCUAAAUCUGACCCCUUCACCUCAAAUCUGACCCCUUGACCCCAAAUCUGACCCCUUGACCCCAAAUUCUGACCCUUGACCCCAAAUCUUACCCCCUGACCCCAAAUCUGACCCCUUCACCCCAAAUCCUGGCCCUUGACCCUAAAUCCUGACCCCUUGACCCCAAAUCCUGACCCCUUGACCUCAAAUCUGACCACCUCGCCCCACUGCCCCAU